rnacentral:lncRNA from 1 species
AUUCUUUAUAGGCUGAAAUUUUCCCCCCUAAAAAUCUGCUUUUUCUUUCUAAAUCAAAAUAUCCACCAUGGCUGCAUCUUAAUCUGCAGAGAAAGUAGAUGGUGUAUCAGCAGAUUUUGACCUGGAUGUUUCAGUCCUUUCUUCACAAAGACUCUUCUCUUAUUAUUCCUGAGCUUGUGGAAUUUGGUAAAACUGCUGGGUUGGCUGAGUGAAUUGUCUUGGCUGGCCAUUACCUCCCCAAUGAAACCUGAGAGUUUGGUCAUAGAUGCCUUCUUCUUCCCAUGCUUCUGUUUGAAUGGGCUUGAUAUUGUAGAGCCUCAAUUCUUAAGUAGAUUCCUUGGGUCCACAUACAACACAAUCUAAACCUCUGAAAAAGUGUCCAUGAUUUGUCAUUUGUCAUUUAUCCAUGACAAAUCUUUCCUCCAGGCCAAAUUCUCCCAAAUAUUUAACUCUUUCUAAUACAGAUGCUUUUAAAUCACUAUACCAUCCUGGUCACCCUCCCACAGAAAAAC